GAAGCAAAUGUAACAUGUUCAAAAUUAUGCUAUUUGUGACAUAUCAUUGUGUUUUACUACUAAGGUAUUGUAUUAUUUUGAAAUACUGGAGUAUCACAUUGUAUAUGGCAAAAUAGAGUGUUGGGUUUCAUAGGUAAUGAUACGUUUUGUUAAAAGUGAUCAGUGGAUACAUGAUUAGCAACUUGGUUAAUCCAAGCAUAUAUUAAAUAACAUUCCAUUGCAGUUUCUUUUAUAUAUACAGUUUUUUAGGUUAUGGAGUUGGGUGAAUAAACUCUUUUUGUUUCACUGUU